rnacentral:rRNA from 1 species
AGUGAACGCUGGCGGUAGGCCUAACACAUGCAAGUCGAACGGCAGCACAGUAAGAGCUUGCUCUUACGGGUGGCGAGUGGCGGACGGGUGAGGAAUACAUCGGAAUCUACUUUUUCGUGGGGGAUAACGUAGGGAAACUUACGCUAAUACCGCAUACGACCUACGGGUGAAAGCAGGGGAUCUUCGGACCUUGCGCGAUUGAAUGAGCCGAUGUUGGAUUAGCUAGUUGGCGGGGUAAAGGCCCACCAAGGCGACGAUCCGUAGCUGGUCUGAGAGGAUGAUCGGCCACACUGGAGCUGAGACACGGUCCAGACUCCUACGGGAGGCAGCAGUGGGGAAUAUUGGACAAUGGGCGCAAGCCUGAUCCAGCCAUACCGCGUGGGUGAAGAAGGCCUUCGGGUUGUAAAGCCCUUUUGUUGGGAAAGAAAAGCAGCAGGUUAAUACCCCGCUGUUCUGACGGUACCCAAAGAAUAAGCACCGGCUAACUUCGUG